ACUGAAGAACUUUGAAGGACUGGAUCUUGGAAAGAUAGAUAAGACUGAUGACUCUGGGCUUGCUUCAUAUGUUGCCGGGCAAGUUGACCAGUCUCUUAGCUGGAAGGAUGUGAAAUGGCUUCAGACAAUAACACACUUGCCAAUCCUACUGAAGGGUGUAUUAACUGCAGAAGAUGCAAGACUAGCUGUAGAAUCUGGAGCAGCUGGAAUUAUUGUGUCGAACCAUGGGGCUCGACAACUUGA
rnacentral:misc_RNA from 1 species